AACUAAACUUUAAAAUUGAACUGAUACUUCCGUCUUUUUAUUUUAAGGUCUGUUAUUGUCUACUUAUCACUAUUGGAUGAUGUCGCCGCAACCUUUCGUGCCCAUCUUAGCUCUGGUGAUACAAUUUACUCGGUCAUGCUGAUAACUACCGUCAACCCAAAGAUGUUUGGAGGUUAGAUAAAAUUGA
rnacentral:sRNA from 1 species